rnacentral:rRNA from 1 species
GUUACUCGGUUUGUGCCAGGUUUCUGAUAUUUGUUCCUGACACAGGCGAGCACCUCGAUCUGGGACGCGCUGGCGUUCGCCGGACCCGCGCCGGAGCGCAUCAACGGGCGGCUGGCCAUGGUGGGUUUCGUGACUGCGCUUGCCGUGGAAGCAGGCCGUGGCGACGGGCUCCUCUCGCAGCUCGGCAGCGGCACCGGGCAGGCGUGGUUCGCCUACUCCGUGGCGGUGCUGUCUGUGGCGUCGCUGGUGCCACUGCUCCAGGGCGAGAGCGCUGAGGGCAGAGCCGGUGCCAUCAUGAACGCCAACGCGGAGCUCUGGAACGGCCGCUUCGCCAUGCUCGGCCUCGUCGCGCUCGCCGCCACCGAGAUCAUCACCGGCGCGCCUUUCAUCAACGUGUAAAACUAGCUUUGUCGUGGACCGGAUAACACAACCUGUACCUAGGACAUGUAAAUGAUGAGAAUUGAUCAUCCUCAUAUUCUUUGUAGUGCUUAUACUAAUUAAAGACAGUUCAUACUACGGGAGCUGCUUUGUUUCUCAUUCGAGAUCUUCUUUUCACGUACUGAAAUUUGCUUCUUUAUCGUGUACCUUAGUAUAAUCGAUAAGGGUCAUUUCAACUUUGGCACAGUCUUUACCUAGUGUUGCAUUCGGUAAAGGGUGUUUGGCAUAUACCCUUCGCACAAAGCAGAGUAUACUGAGUUUCUUACCUGGCAAAGGCUUUGCCGAGUAUCAAAAGA